rnacentral:rRNA from 1 species
CGGAAUUGCUAGUAAUGGCAGGUCAGCAUACUGCCGUGAAUACGUUCCCGGGCCUUGUACACACCGCCCGUCACACCAUGAGAGUUGGGGAUACCCGAAGCCUGUGAGCCAACUUUUAAAGAGGCAGCAGUCGAAGGUAGAAUCAAUGAUUGGGGUGAAGUCGUAACAAGGUAAC